rnacentral:rRNA from 1 species
CAGCAGCAGCCGCGGUAAUACGGAGGGUGCAAGCGUUAAUCGGAAUUACUGGGCGUAAAGCGCACGCAGGCGGUCUGACAAGUCAGAUGUGAAAUCCCCGGGCUUAACCUGGGAACUGCAUUUGAAACUGUCAGGCUGGAGUCUUGUAGAGGGGGGUAGAAUUCCAGGUGUAGCGGUGAAAUGCGUAGAGAUCUGGAGGAAUACCGGUGGCGAAGGCGGCCCCCUGGACAAAGACUGACGCUCAGGUGCGAAAGCGUGGGGAGCAAACAGGAUUAGAUACCCGUGUAGUCCCUGUCUCUUAUAU